ACAGAAAGGGAAAUUAGCUGCCUGAGCUUUUCCAUUCUCAACAACAGCGUUGAAUAGGGUGGAUUUUCCGACGUUAGGGAGACCAACGAUGCCGGCUUUCAAGCUCAUACUUAUCUUCGAAGAAGAGGAAAACCACCUGUUGAUCCCUAAAGCACCCAUAAAUUGGGAGCUCUUAGCGAACAGAGAAGAAUUAGUGCAGAGAAAUGAUGAUGGUGAUUUCGAUGGAAGAAGAGGUAAGGCGGGGAUUAGGUUACUGCAAG
rnacentral:misc_RNA from 1 species